rnacentral:rRNA from 1 species
AGAGCGAACGCUGGCGGCAGGCCUAAUACAUGCAAGUCGAACGAGCCCUUCGGGGUUAGUGGCGGACGGGUGAGUAACACGUGGGAACGUGCCUUUUGGUUCGGAACAACUCAGGGAAACUUGAGCUAAUACCGAAUGUGCCCUUCGGGGGGAAAGAUUUAUCGCCAUUAGAGCGGCCCGCGUCUGAUUAGCUAGUUGGUGAGGUAAAGGCCCACCAAGGCUACGAUCAGUAGCUGGUCUGAGAGGAUGAUCAGCCACACUGGGACUGAGACACGGCCCAGACUCCUACGGGAGGCAGCAGUAGGGAAUCUUGCGCAAUGGGCGAAAGCCUGACGCAGCCAUGCCGCGUGAAUGAUGAAGGUCUUAGGAUUGUAAAAUUCUUUCAGCGGGACGAUAAUGACGGUACCGCAGAAGAACGCCCCGGCUAACUUCGUGCCAGCAGCCGC